GCCAUGAUUGUGAGGCCUCCCCAGACAUGUGGAACUGAUGCUAUAUUGAAUUUUUGGAGAGAAAGUGAAACAUGUCUGGGUCUAAGCAAGAAGUGAAUAUCUGCUUGGAGAUUCUGUACAAGAUGGUGGGGCUAGAGAAGCAACCUAGAAAGCAGGGGAUCUCUUAAAAGGACAAGGAGCAGCAUUAGGAAAGGGAAGGGUGUUAGAGAUGGAUUUUCAUCCUAGACACCAGCACAGAAGGAACUCUGAAAAAUGUGAGUACAGUAUAAACAGUGGGAAUUAAAAAGGUAAACACUUUCUGGUUGUAUCUGUUUUUAAAGACAAUGACAACUACUGUAUAAUGUUGGGGUUUAAAAAAGAAGUGUUUGGAAUAUAAAAUCAUUCUUUGGUUUAAAAAUACUGAAUUUAAUAGAAUUGAUUAUUUUCACACUAGAAAUAACCCACUUGCCUACCCUAGUGAAAAACUAAGAAAUACAAGGAAUUAAAAGCAUGAAUCAAGUUAUUAUUGCUUUAUUCUCAAAAACCUUGUGAUUACAAGCAGAUUCUAAAAAUUAAGUUUAAAUCCACUAUGUAUUGUUCA
rnacentral:lncRNA from 1 species